rnacentral:rRNA from 1 species
GACGUAGGGUGCGAGCGUUGUCCGGAUUUAUUGGGCGUAAAGAGCUCGUAGGCGGCUUGUUGCGUCGACUGUGAAAACCCGCGGCUUAACCGCGGGCUUGCAGUUGAUACGGGCAGGCUAGAGUUCGGUAGGGGAGACUGGAAUUCCUGGUGUAGCGGUGAAAUGCGUAGAUAUUGGGAGGAACACCAGUGGCGAAGGCGGCUCACUGGACCGGAACUGACGCUGAGGCGCGAAAGCGUGGGGAGCAAACAGG